rnacentral:tRNA from 1 species
GGGGGUGUAGCCCAACUGGCAGAGGCGCGCCGCUUAAAACGGCGUCCAGCGUGGGUUCGACUCCCACCGCCCCCA